UUCCACCUAUUUGAACCAUCAAUUAAUCUUUUCUCGUCAGUGAAAAUAACAUUUCUCCAGCUUUCAAUUUAUUUUAAAUGCUUUGCGGCAAAUCCCAGCCUUUGCUUCCUACGGAUACCUAUUAAUUGGAAAAACGAAUAGUAUGAAGUAUAUUGACUUGAUCAACCAAUAAAUACAAGCACAUACAGUACGUAUUGCGGAGAAAAAUGCUUAUUCCAACAAAAUAAUGCCGCUGUCACACCGCACAGUCGGGGGACAAGUACUUUGUUGAGAGAAAGAUCUAAGUUUUAGAAUGGCCAGCAAGGUCAUCCGACCUAAAUAUGAUAGAAAAUUGUCGGGGUAAGCCAGUAAGAGCAGUUUAUAAAAAUAUACAAUUUAAAUAAAAAAAAUUCAAUUUCAAAAGCUAUUCAAAUCGUCAUCAAAAAGAAUGACAGCAGUUAUAAAAAAUAAGGGAAGUUAUACGAAAUAUUAACAUGACAAUAUCUUUAGUGAAUCUGAGUAAAUUUUCCUUUUUCUGCAGCAUGUGCUAUCAUUUUGUCCGACUGUAUUCUUGUCAUAUUUCUAAUUUUGUAGGAAAAAUAUUAAUUUUCACUUCAGAACUAUAUAGUGGUAUUAAUAUUAGGUCGUCUGAAAAGCUUCUUUCGUUUUAUAAGGAAAUAAUGGAUGCACAACAUUUUCCGUUUUAUAUUAUUUUAUCGAAUUACGUAUGAUCAAUUUUGUUCUAUCAAAAUAAAGAUCACAACGUUCGACAGAUUAGGUUUCAUGUUUGUAUAAAGAUGCAUCAUUGUAAAAGACGGGUCUGUAAAAGAAUGACACAUAUAUAUUCGGACAACCUAAUAAAAACUAGCUUUUAAGUUAAUAAAAUAUAUCUUUGUAUCUCUGCUUGUUAUUCAAUAAAAUUUUCCGAAUUUGUGCUAUAUGCUAUUUGUUUGUCCGGUAGUGUACUUAGUAGCUUUCUGUUAUACAAUAGGUAAAUAUCGUAGAUGUUUGGCAUGUCAUAUUUCUAGUCGCGUGCAAUGCAACACAUGGGUUAAAUCGACACUUAGAUACGACGUCAGUUUACAUAAUGCGAGAUAACGCGAUGCAUGCUUGUAGAAGUGGUUUUUCGAUAGAACAAAAAUAUUUUCGCUCGUCCAGGGAGACGUUACGGUUGACGUGCAAGUGUAAGACAGCGAGUAGGAACAAGAACGGUGACAUGUGAUACAUCACGGGGAUCCUGAUAAACUGUGUCGUACCACCAUAAACGAGUUAUGUGAGAAAUAUACGAGGUUGGUAAUCGGAAAUCUCGACGAUUUCCAGCAGAGCAUAUCUCGUAAAAGCGUCACAUGGGGCGCAGAUAUAUUUCGAUGUGCCUUUCACAAUUCUAACAGGUAUAAAGGCUUGCUCAACGAACAAUCGAUAUUGAUGCUAGCAGAAUUUACCUAAAAAUAAAACCUUGAAUUAAUAUAAUAAGAGAAUAAGAGUUUCGUAAGCAGUGAAGACGAGACUUAAGAUCAAAUAGUUAUAAUGUACGUUUAGGAAACCUUGAUGGAAUCUACAGCCUGUGUGUCGACGCAGUUCCAAAUUGUCUUUUAUCCAUCAACGGUGUCAUUAUUUGUCCAAUUUCUAAUAAUAAAUUUGUGGA